GCCCGGAUCGCCCAGUUGGUAGGGCGCCGUAUGAAACACUACGGAGGUCGGUGGUUCGAGUCCACCUCCGGGCACCU
rnacentral:tRNA from 2 species